UAUUUUUUAAAAAUUAUCUAGGAGUUUCUAUCACCAGAGAUUUCCAUCAAGACUUAGUAUCACUCUAGGUAAAAUCUGAAAUUCCCUUCUCAGAGGUCUAGCUUCCUUAUUUUUUAAAGAGAGAUUAAAAUUUCUAACUUUAUAGCAUAACUUAUCCAAUUUUGUUCUGCUCCUUUUAUGUUGGCAACUAAGCUAGUCUCCUUAGCCAUAAAUAAAGCCAACCAUCUUUAAAACAAAGUCAAAGAUCUAUAUAUUACUUUGAAAUUUUACUUAAAUGUGAAAGAGAAGAAAGAAGUAAAAAACAAAAAACAAAAACACCACCCAAAUCUGAAUUCACCUGUACAGGAAAACCUAAAUAGCUAAAUUACCUGAAGUUAGUUUUGUUUGUUUGUAUGUUUGUUUGUUUGUGUGGGUUUGUUUGUUUUUUGUUUUUUUGUGUGUGUGUGGGGGUUUGGUUUUUUUUUUUUUUUUUACUCAUUUAGUGUUGAUCCUUGGGUGAUUUAUUAAUACCAAAACGAUAUCUGAACUUGAUAGACUUUAAAUGUUGGCAGUUGGCAAAAUCAUUUCCUUUGUACCACAAUCAAAUAAGGUCCACUGUCAAAGUUUACUGACUGAACCUUGAUUCAUUAGUGCUAGUCAUGCCAAAGGGGUAUCUCAAAAUAGUUUAAUCUUUUCAAAGAUACUCACAAUGGCCAACUGUGUGUGAAUGAUGGAAAAAUUGAGGUUCUUCUAUAUUCUUUAAAUUUUAUAGUCCUCAGACUAGAAGAGAUCUCCAGGGGUCAUCUGGCUCAUCCAUCUUCUUCCUGGGAGGACUGUCACUCAGGCAUGCACAGCAGGAGAGAUACCCAUCUAUUCUUCACAUCUCUAGGGAAGGCGGUUUCCUUGGCAACACAAUCCAGAUCUCUUAGGUUUUUCUCACAAUGAGAAAAUAUCUUGGCCAGUUGUUGUAAGCUAGGCACUUGGCAACAGUUGUGGUGAUUUGGGCCAUUGUCCUGGGAGACUUAAAGAAAGUUGGAUUUCUCCAGCCUUUGAUAGUUAUUAUAUUUGAUGAUUCCACAAGUCUCCUAGGAAACUAGAUUUUUAAAAAUAAAGAUAUGGGUAUUGAAACAAUUAUGUCAGGUCAAAAAUUAUGACCUGCUCUGGAAAAUAAUAACUUUAGUUAGUUUUGUAGAUGUUUUUGUUUUGUUUGUUUUUUGUUUUAUCAUCACUGAGAUGUCAAGAGACAAUUUCAGGAAAAGUGACUGAGAAGUUACAAUUACAAAAGUGAGCAUUUUUCUACCUUCUUGCCUCUAAAUAAAUACCUUCUCAUUAAACUUUCUUUACCCUAAAAUGACAAGCGAGAAUCUCAUGGUUUUCCACUUCUUCUGGGGAAGUUGGGAGUAGCGGUGGAGAGCCUGAUGUGGAAUAAAAUUACUCCAAAGAAUCGCUCACCCUCCGUUUGAUCCCAGCCUUUGUUCCCACAUUAUGUAAACAAUAGAUGCUUGCCUUCCCAGGGAUCAGCAAAAGGAUUUCAAAAUUUAUCAUCCUGACAAAGCCUGAAAGCCAAGGGAGGAGUCUUGUAGGAUGGUGAUCUUUUUCUGAUUACAUCACUUGACCCAAUCACUUUCUGCAGCUAGCUUUCAGAAUGUUGUUCCUGUUUUUCUGUUUGCUUAGUUGCUUCCAACGAGGAGUCAGAACUAGCCCACGAUAGGAGCACCCCCAAAAAGUUCCUUUCUCCAUGGGAUUUUUUAAAUCUCCCCGACUCGGGUGCUCUUGUGAAACGACAGCCACAUCCGGUGGUUGCUCCCCACAAACUACAUGAGGGGAAAUGACCCUUUUGCUUAAAAAAUAAAUAAAUAAAUAAAGCUAUAGAAUCUUAUGUAAAGAAGGUUGAGUGAUUUGGCCCAUGUUUUAAUUGACUUUAGGCAACUCUAUGGAAAUAAGUCUGAGGCGUAGUUUGUGAAACAUGUUUCAAAAGUGUUUGAUUGUAAAAUAAACGCUAGACAUUUACCGUGCAGAAAUAGUUUUUUUAAAAAUUAAAAACCUGUAGAUGAUGACUCUGUUCCUGAGAACCUCAGCCUUUAUUGUGUCUUAGUAAAGUUGAUCUGCUUUCAUUUAGUUUAUUGCAUUUCUGGUGUAAUAAUAGCCUCUUGAGGUAGAACUAUUAAUGCAUAUGUACUGGUUAAUGCCUGUUAAUGCAGAAAAUGGCACUUUGUUAUUUCGAUGUGUUUUCCUCAGUGUCACAGGGUAUAUCAACUUGAUAGGAAACGAUCACUUGACAUUGGUCAAAAAUGCAUUUUCCCCAUUUAAAAUAUAUUUGUAUAAUCCAUUGCAUAGACAGAGGUCACCUUUUGCAGUAUCUUGACCUUGAUCAUAGUCUUAUACAUCAACUGUGUCUCCACUUUCCAGCUGCCAUAGAAAUUUGGGAUAUUUGCAGAUUCUAGUGAAAUCUUGUGAGCUGAAUGAGAUGGUGGAUCAAAUGAUCUAGAGCACCCGGGCGUUAUCCUUCAGUCUACGUUAAACUGUGGGACAUUGGGAAUGAGCUUUACACAAGGGAAGUCUUUUGGGUAUUUGGGGGGUUUUUUGUUUGUUUUGUUUUCAAUUCAGGAGAGAGGGGAGUAACUUAAAAAUUCAGUGAGAUAAACUAACUUUUUUUUAACUUUUGACUGGUUUUAUCUUUUUGUUGAUUUCUGUUAUUUUUACUCAAUUUAAAUAGUCUAAUCAAAUGGAAAGGUCAGAAGGG